rnacentral:rRNA from 1 species
GAUGAACGCUGGCGGCGUGCCUAAUACAUGCAAGUCGAGCGAACAGACGAGGAGCUUGCUCCUCUGACGUUAGCGGCGGACGGGUGAGUAACACGUGGAUAACCUACCUAUAAGACUGGGAUAACUUCGGGAAACCGGAGCUAAUACCGGAUAAUAUAUUGAACCGCAUGGUUCAAUAGUGAAAGACGGUUUUGCUGUCACUUAUAGAUGGAUCCGCGCCGCAUUAGCUAGUUGGUAAGGUAACGGCUUACCAAGGCAACGAUGCGUAGCCGACCUGAGAGGGUGAUCAGCCACACUGGAACUGAGACACGGUCCAGACUCCUACGGGAGGCAGCAGUAGGGAAUCUUCCGCAAUGGGCGAAAGCCUGACGGAGCAACGCCGCGUGAGGGAUGAAGGUCUUCGGAUCGUAAAACUCUGUUAUUAGGGAAGAACAAAUGUGUAAGUAACUAUGCACGUCUUGACGGUACCUAAUCAGAAAGCCACGGCUAACUACGUG